rnacentral:rRNA from 1 species
GACGAACCGUGCGAACGGUGUUCGGAAUCACUGGGCUUAAAGGGCGCGUAGGUGGGCUGUCAAGUCUGGGGUGAAAUGCCGCGGCUCAACCGUGGAACUGCCUUAGAUACUGACGGCCUCGAGGGGGGUAGGGGCAUGCGGAACUGUGAGUGGAGCGGUGAAAUGCGUUGAUAUUCACAGGAACUCCGGUGGCGAAGGCGGCGUGCUGGACCUCUGCUGACGCUGAGGCGCGAAAGCUAGGGGAGCAAACGGG